UUACUGUGAUGAUACCAACAAUUUUUCUCCAGAACAUGAUGAUGGUAGAAAAACGAGCUUUUUAAAUCUGAGUGAG